UUGGGUCCAGAGUUCAGACCUUCUGAUCUCCGCUCAGAGUCACAGCCUGACCUGUCAUGGACCUCUGCGGCUCAUCAUACCUCUGUUUUGCCACAUGUAAGGUAUGGAUGAAUAAAGUUACUUCUUUAGGCAGUGAUGAAGGUUUCUGCAUUGAGGUCAGAGAACCAAUGCUAUGAAAAGGCCAGAUCCAAGAAACAGUCAAUGAGAACUUUUUGCUUUUGCUUCAGGAGGUGUUGGGUCAGGCCUGAACUGUAGGACAAUAAGACUUUAUGACUUCUGAAGUGUAAGGUAUGGAUUAUACAUUUGAGAAACCCAUUAAGGGUAGUAACGUGCUUUAACAAAAGAAAGCACUCUCGCUCAGGCAGCUUUGAUUUUAAGAUAUCAAGGGUAAACCAAUCUCUCUUAGUGAUUUAACAAUGCAAAUAGGUUCUGAAGUGAUGAUGGGAAGAUGGAUAUGCUACUCUGAGUGGAGCUGAGCAGCAGCAAAGCCUUGGUGCAGCAGGGUUCACAAAAGGCAGCCUUUGAAUGACAAGCACCAGCUUGGGCAAGGAGUUUUCACUGGGAGCCAGCCAGGAGGGGUUAGGGCUCUGUGCAGUACAUGUUCCUGAUGAUUCCACUGCUCUGUCCUUAUUUCCGUGGCUCUGCUGGUUACCUACCACCUUGGAGAGGUGCUGCAGGCACUUUCUAGUGGGCUUAUGUCAUUGGUCAGAGAUCUUUGUGUAUGUAAAAUCUGGAAGAGAUCUGUACCAUCCCUGCACAACUGAUGUUUGUAGAUGAUGGGUGAGGCAGUGAUGUCCCAGAGAGCUACAAUGCCUUGGGCUAUGAUCUCAUAAGUUAAGUAGGGUUGGGCCUGUUUGUUUUUGGAUGGGGACUUGGAAGGAAAAGUUGAUUGCUACAGUCAAUUUGACUUGGUAAUUCAGAAGGUGGUGCUCUUCCCCCUAGAUAGCACAGGUUGACAUGCCAGAAUGAUUAGGCUCACCACAACUCCUAACCUUUUUGGAAAAAAUGUAAAACCAACAUCCUCACCUCUCCAGAGUGAACAUCACGGGACUCCUGCUAUUACUCCUGAGUCCCAACCAAAUUCCAUCUCAAGGCAACCACACCCUGCAGAUGGAGAUCCACCCUGCCCUUUCGGGAGGAUGCAGUAAACUUUGCUUUCACUGGCUGGUUGCGUUGCACCUCCAGCUGAACCGCUGCAGAGCUUCAGUACAGAUGGCAGCAGUAUUGCUCGGGCAGGCAGCAAAUGCCCUUUCAUUAACUUGUGCAAGUGUCCUCACUGGGAAGGGACUGUUUAAAUGGGGGGUAUCUACCCACCGGUAUGGAUUUUGGAAGCCUUGAUGGGACCUGGUUUGAGCAAUAGCCUCCUUGUGCUGAACGCCAUGUAGCGGCUGGAGCCUCCCUCUGCUUUGCCUUUGGCUCUUCCUACUGCAGCACAUUGCCAGGCUGUCACAGCACAGGCACGCGCUGCUGCCCACUGCCAUCUUAGAGGGACAAAGAACAUUCGCUUAGCUGUUUUGUACACUUCUUCACAUGCCAGUGUGGCUACUUGGGCCAAAUUCUGGAGUGAUGUAAGUUAUUUAGCAGUAUGUAGGUGUAAAGUGCAGCAAUUUUCUGUACCGAGUGGGUGGUAAUGUAGGGUUGUGGCAGGAAAAGCAGCAAAGAGGAUGGCAUUAGAUAAAAUAUUCCUUGUAAGGAUGGUUGCUGGGAAGGGAGCUCUGGUUGCUUUGGCCAUGUCUAAAGGCAGAUUUGCUCUGUAUUUGUUUAUUUUCUAAGCUGUGAAAGUGCUUGUGUGCAUUCUUCUCUUUCGGUUUAGCUUAAAUUUUCCUAAUCCGGUUAGCAGAGAGAAACCUCCCUGAACCCCAAGUAAGUGUCUGCAUGGGAGUUUGCACCAGCUGAAUUAAAUCUGCAUGAAAUCACGCAGGGUGCCCUUGUACAGGAAAAGAAGCAACCUCCCUGCUCCAACAUCACAGGGACUGUGCAGGAAAGGGGCUGAGUGAACUAAAACCAGGCUCUCCAUUUGGGAUCUGUGAAGAAAGGCUCACUAAAGGGAAGACUAUGUGCUGGCAGGCCCAAGUCCCUGACCUAGUGACUUGCAGAGGGGGGACUGCUCCCAGUACCAGUCCCGGCUGAUCUGCACUGUCCUGGCAGAGCGCAGUGGGAGAGGCAGGCAGCUGGGCUUAGCUCUGGCUUUUGCAUAUUCUUUACCAUGCGUGUCCUGUCUUGACAGUAUUUAUGCAAAUUUUUAAGUAGGGGAAAAAGCUGUCACGUAAAACCAAAAAUUCAUCUGAAGGCCAAAUAUGUAGGUUGGUUGGCUUCUGUGUUUUCUUUUUUUUUUUUUUUUCUUCUUCUUCCCAAUUAAAAAUAAAGUAACCUAUAAAAUGAUGAUCUAGUUUAAUAUCCUUAUUAUAUGUUCCAGGCAGUAUCUGAGUCAUGGCAUUUGCUCUGUGCUUUGUACCCCUGCGGGGGAUGUAAAAGUUCAAUUUUUGGAAUAUUUCUUCAUCCACCCUAAUCAAAUAUGCCAGGUAAGAGUGCCGGCGUGCAGGGUUGUGGGUAGUGCAAGUGAAUUAUCUCAGGAUAAAACUGCUGUUGGGACAGGACCCACAGGCCACUGUUUCAGGUAAUUGGUUGUGCUCCUGUCCUUGCAAUCCAUAUCAUCUUCUUGAGUGGAAACACAACUGAAGCCCAAAGGAGUUUCCAAUGGAUUGUCUUGUCCUUAUUUUUCUUUUUAGUUAGUGGAGCUCCAUUCCAUUUAAUUCCCGACAAGUGCUAAGAUCCCUCUCCUUUAAUUGUCAUAAAAAAAUGUUUAUAGAGAGCUACAAAAGGAGCCGCUGAAGGAAGUCUCUUCAGCACUGGCAGAGUUGUUACAUGUUUCCAUGAUGUGAGCAGCCAAUUCACAUCACCAUGGGCAUUUCUCGCACAGGUAGGGGUCUUCUGGUUUGCCCAGGCCAUUUCAACUGGGUAUUUUUGCAGGUAUAAUUAGCAAGAUGCUUGCUGUUUAAUGCCAACUGUGAUAAUGGCUUUUGUGACACAGAUUCUUGUUCACUGAGAUCCAGAGUAAACCAGACUUGCCUCCUGGGAUCUGCAUACCACAACAGUCCAGAGACCAUAAUUAGGAAGUCUCUUCCUGAAGUCUCAAGGUCACAGUUGAGUAGGGGAAAGGAGAAGGCAUGAGAAAUCUCUCCGAUGGUUUGAAGGAAUGAUCGAUCGGUCUGUGCCAUUGAUGCCCUUGGUCUACAGAUACCCCCUGUGAGACCUUCACUGCACACCGGACAAAGAAUUGCAGUGGAAUUUUCAGCGCAUUCUGGCAGGUAAGGGAAAUGGUGAAUCAGGACAGCAGAUGGAAACCCAUAGGUAGCUAAAGGCUGGUGGUUUGGUCUUGAAUCUGAGUUGCUGAACUGCCUCGUAAAAUUUCUUGUGUUUUGUGAUAGAGAGACCAAUUGAGACAGAUUCCUUGUGAACUUUUGCAGUCAUGUGACAGUGAUCAAAAGUCAUGUCAAAAACAAGAGAAGAAUUGACAGGGAACACAGAAUAAUAUCUGAAAUAUCGUGCAAAUGGCUGCUUUUUUGGAAAUUUUUGUCUCUAAUGUAGCCUGCAAAAGUCACUGAUGACUAACUCUUGUGUAUUCCUCUGAAAUAAAAAUAGGUAUGUG